rnacentral:rRNA from 1 species
GACGAACGCUGGCGGCGUGCUUAACACAUGCAAGUCGAACGAAGAGCGAUGGAAGCUUGCUUCUAUCAAUCUUAGUGGCGAACGGGUGAGUAACGCGUAAUCAACCUGCCCUUCAGAGGGGGACAACAGUUGGAAACGACUGCUAAUACCGCAUACGAUCUGACCUCGGCAUCGAGGAUAGAUGAAAGGUGGCCUCUACAUGUAAGCUAUCACUGAAGGAGGGGAUUGCGUCUGAUUAGCUAGUUGGAGGGGUAACGGCCCACCAAGGCGAUGAUCAGUAGCCGGUCUGAGAGGAUGAACGGCCACAUUGGGACUGAGACACGGCCCAGACUCCUACGGGAGGCAGCAGUGGGGAAUCUUCCGCAAUGGACGAAAGUCUGACGGAGCAACGCCGCGUGAGUGAUGACGGCCUUCGGGUUGUAAAGCUUUGUUAAUCGGGACGAAAGGCCUUUUUGCGAAUAGUGAGAAGGAUUGACGGUACCGGAAUAGAAAGCCACGGCUAACUACGUG